UUUGUACAGAAUGAUCAUGUAGCAGUUUGAAGCGAAAAAGGAAAACAGAUCAUUUUCCUUCCUCUCCUUUGAAACAGUGUGUCCCUUCCCCCGGCACGUGUUCCCGGCAGCAGGGCCGGUGAGGAGGAAUGAGUGUCUCCUCCUGCUGCUCUGGAGGGGAAGUGCACUCAGCAGGCGAUCUCAUCCAGCGUCCCCAGAGUGGUCUGUAAAGGAACACUGACUGUGUGGCUGAUGGUCUCUGAAUGAUUCACUACUGGAUCACACGUGCUCUGAGAAGGCAAUCACCUCCAUGUGUCUGAGAUUCUCAUUAGCAUGACAUCUCAAGAUCAAGUCCAUUAGACGUGAUUCCAAACCAAUUCAAGGUUACAAUUACCUCUCCAUAUAUCCCAAGAUCAUCCUGCUGUCUGAAGAAGGAGUGGCUGAGUGUUUAAAUAUUUGCAGGAUUAUGUGGCCUCAUCAUUAAAACCAGCAACUUGGAACAGGAUCAAAGCCCCGAGAAAGCAAA